rnacentral:rRNA from 1 species
UACGGAGGGGGCGAGCGUUGUCCGAAGUUACUGGGCGUAAAGCGCGCGUAGGCGGGUUGGUAAGUCCGCUGUGAAAGCCCGGAGCUUAACUCCGGAGGGUCGGUGGAUACUGCCAGUCUUGAAGGUGCUAGGGGGAGAUGGAAUUACCGGUGUAGCGGUGAAAUGCGUAGAUAUCGGUAGGAACACCAGUGGCGAAGGCGGUCCCCUGGGGCAUUCUUGACGCUGAGGCGCGAAAGCUGGGGGAGCAAACGGG